rnacentral:rRNA from 1 species
GACGAAGGGGGCUAGCGUUGUUCGGAAUUACUGGGCGUAAAGCGCGUGUAGGCGGUUGUCCAAGUUGGAUGUGAAAGCCUUGAGCUCAACUCAAGAAAUGCAUUCAGGACUGGAUGACUAGAGGACCGGAGAGGAUAGUGGAAUUCCCAGUGUAGUGGUGAAAUACGUAGAGAUUGGGAAGAACACCAGUGGCGAAGGCGGCUAUCUGGACGGUUUCUGACGCUAAGACGCGAAAGCGUUGGGGAGCAAACAGG